rnacentral:rRNA from 1 species
UACGGGGGGGGGCAAGCGUUGUUCGGAAUUCCUGGGCGUAAAGGGCUCGUAGGCGGCCAACUAAGUCAGACGUGAAAUCCCUCGGCUUAACCGGGGAACUGCGUCUGAUACUGGAUGGCUUGAGAUUGGGAGAGGGAUGCGGAAUUCCAGGUGUAGCGGUGAAAUGCGUAGAUAUCUGGAGGAACACCGGUGGCGAAGGCGGCAUCCUGGACCAACACUGACGCUGAGGAGCGAAAGCCAGGGGAGCAAACGGG